rnacentral:lncRNA from 1 species
AUGCACCGAGCUGCGGGGAGUGUCCUGGGUUUCCAGCACUCCCAGUUUAAGCAAAACAGUAAUUACCAGUCCUGUGGGCUCCAUGAAGCGGCAGGAGUAGCUGUCAGCCGGGCGCAACGCUGUCAUGCCUUGUCCAGGGCUGGGGGAAAGGGACGUGGAACUCCUCCUCUGCCUCUCCGUCUCCGCUCGGAUGCCCAGAGUACUUUAGGCUUCAGUCAGUCUUCCCCUGCAUUUCUUCUUGGUCAAGUCUUGGACCAGCAGGUUAGCCCAGAUGAGGUCCCACUUCCAAGGUCUUGGCCAUCUGAGAGAAUGCUGUGGUUCCAGUCCUGUUUAAUGUCAUGCUGAAGAGUCUGCCUGAGGCCAAGCUGGUCAGGAGAGGGCUUUGGAGAGGUGGGCACAGCCAUGUGGUGCCAGACAAGCUGGGAAAUUAGCACAUGUUAGUUCAAACCAAAGGGAACAAUAGAGAAACCACACUUCUCUUGGCUUCCUUAAAAGAGCUACAAGGAAGUGGCAUGGAGAGCGACAAAGUGCUGGGAGGUGAUAGGAAGUGUGACAGCUCUGCGGGUUUAUGGAGUGCCAGUGUAAACACAGUGUCACUUGGGCUGUCACAUAAUUGUGCUGGGGAAGUCACGUCCGGGUCCCAACCCUCAGGUUUGGGGGUUUGCUAAAAAUCAGGUCUGUAAGAUGUGUGUAGUGGAAAUGUGCCUGUGGGAAGGAUGGGGAGGGGUGGUUUACCCUGGGGAGAGCCGGGGGUGGGAAUGUGCUGUACCAGCCUGAUAAGCAGGACUGGCCACCGCUGAGGAAAAUUGUAACGAGCGGUUUUCUUGUGCUUCUGCCCCGGCUACGGGAGAACAGGCCGGUCUUUGCCCCGGCUAAGGGGGCAGCGAGGGAGAGAAACGGGGGAGGCGCUGGUGAAGAGUUGUUCCCAUCACCAGCUACCCUUCCAGUUUGCUUCUUUGGCAGCAUUUUAAUGAUG